GAUUGAACGCUGGCGGUAUGCUUAACACAUGCAAGUCGAACGGAAACGAUACUAGCUUGCUAGUAGGCGUCGAGUGGCGGACGGGUGAGUAACGCGUAGGAAUCUGCCUGAUAGUGGGGGAUAGCCCGAAGAAAUUCGGAUUAAUACCGCAUAAUCUAUUCGUAGUAAAGUGGGGGACUUUCGAGCCUCACGCUAUCAGAUGAGCCUGCGUAAGAUUAGCUUGUUGGUAGGGUAAAAGCCUACCAAGGCGACGAUCUUUAGCUGGUCUGAGAGGAUGAUCAGCCACAUCGGGACUGAGACACGGCCCGAACUCCUACGGGAGGCAGCAGUGGGGAAUAUUGGACAAUGGGGGCAACCCUGAUCCAGCAAUACCGCGUGUGUGAAGAAGGCCUGAGGGUUGUAAAGCACUUUCAAUUGUGAAGAAAAGUUAGCGGUUAAUAACCGUUAGCCUUGACGUUAACUUUAGAAGAAGCACCGGCUAACUCCGUGCCAGCAGCCGCGGUAAUACGGAGGGUGCAAGCGUUAAUCGGAAUUACUGGGCGUAAAGCGUGCGUAGGCGGUUUAUUAAGUCAGAUGUGAAAGCCCCGGGCUUAACCUGGGAACUGCAUUUGAAACUGGUCAACUAGAGUAUGGUAGAGGAAAGUGGAAUUUCUGGUGUAGCGGUGAAAUGCGUAGAUAUCAGAAGGAACAUCAAUGGCGAAGGCAGCUUUCUGGACCAAUACUGACGCUGAGGUACGAAAGCGUGGGUAGCAAACAGGAUUAGAUACCCUGGGUAGUCCACGCCGUAAACGAUGAUAACUAGCCGUUGGGGGGAUUUACCCUUUAGUGGCGAAGCUAACGCGUUAAGUUAUCCGCCUGGGGAGUACGGCCGCAAGGUUAAAACUCAAAGGAAUUGACGGGGACCCGCACAAGCGGUGGAGCAUGUGGUUUAAUUCGAUGCAACGCGAAGAACCUUACCUGGUCUUGACAUCCUGCGAACUUUCUAGAAAUAGAUUGGUGCCUUCGGGAACGCAGUGACAGGUGCUGCAUGGCUGUCGUCAGCUCGUGUCGUGAGAUGUUGGGUUAAGUCCCGUAACGAGCGCAACCCCUACCCUUAUUUGCCAGCACAUCAUGGUGGGAACUAUAAGGAGACUGCCGGUGAUAAACCGGAGGAAGGCGGGGACGACGUCAAGUCAUCAUGGCCCUUACGACCAGGGCUACACACGUGCUACAAUGGGAAGGACAAAGAGCCGCGAAGCCGCGAGGUGUAGCUAAUCUCAUAAACCUUUUCGUAGUCCGGAUUGGAGUCUGCAACUCGACUCCAUGAAGUCGGAAUCGCUAGUAAUCGUAGAUCAGAAUGCUACGGUGAAUACGUUCCCGGGUCUUGUACACACCGCC
rnacentral:rRNA from 1 species